CUUACCAGAGAAACAUACCUAUGUUGAACACAUCACAACUACAUGUUUUAUUUAGCAAAAAAAAAAAAAAAACUACAUGUUUUCGGGUACUGCUCCAAAUCAUCUGCCCUCGGUAGCUUGGUGCCUAAGUAGUUAACUCAGCAUCACAAGAAGGUAACAGUUAAAAUCUUGCAACUCUUCCCAGAAAGUGUAAUGUUCAAGUAACGAGCACAACAGAACAUUAAUAUGCAUCCGCAUUUAAAAUCCCGAAUGAAGAAGACCAAAGUUAAAGCAUGAAUGAUAAGGCAUACCUAAGUAUAUAGUAUAUGUACCUUAACUCUAUCAUUUAUUUUGUAUAUGAAAAUCAAUAUUAAAACAUCUAAAUAUAUGUAAAGUGCCGCAAUGAGCAUUCAUCACAGUUUAUCUAAACUACAAGUGGCCCACGAGAGGGAGCAUCAUCAACUGUGUUCCAUGAUUCAUCAACCAAAAGAGACCCUAAACCAUAGCAAAAAAGAGAGAGAAGAAAUCAAUUACAACAAUGACACCAAAAGCUCUGAUCCGCAGGAAAUAAGUUCCUGAACCAGAUAUCUGUCUAAAGGCCUUAUAAAUCAUAAAACUAAACUCCCAAGCCAUUGCAUACUAAAAUCAGGUAUAGAAGUUAAUUCACUAUACAAGCUAAACAGAAUCAAGUGCAACAAUGAUACCAAAGGCUCAGGUUUGCAGGAAAUAGGUUCCCAACCCCAGAUCUCUAUAUAAAGGUCCUGCAAUAUCAUCAUAAAUCAUAAUACUAAAUUACCAAGGGCAUUUCAUACAAAAAUCAGGUAUAUAAGUCAAUUCAAAUAAUUAAAAAUGAACUCAUCAUGUAAGACAGUAAAACUAAAUGCCAACACCAAACCCAACGAAUUAACUUUAUGCCUGGAACAUUUUUGAAAAUUGUGCGCACUACAGAUGCACUCUGGCCACAAUACAAUCAAAAAUUCUUCCUCCUCCCACAGGUUGGAAAAAAUGUCAACAACCAGCAAGUUGCUCUGUUUGAGCUUUUUUCUCUCUCCCCUUUCACCACUACUUUUGAUCUGCCAUACAUAUUUUAAAUGUGGUCACUACCAAUGUGGCUGCUAUCUUCCAAUCAUUUUCACCAAGUCCUCAAAUUGGCACAUUCAGAAAAGCUAAAACAAUCCUAAUAGUUGUUGCAACUGUAAUAUAAGAAACGUAUGUAACAUAAUGAUGACACAACGUAUAAUACUCACUGUUACGACUUCUUAUUGUAUGAUACAGAGCAACUAACUUUUGAUUGAUGGGAAAGACACCCAUAUAAAAAUUGAUUAUUCGUCUAUGGAUCAAUCGCAUUCAAAUUUCAACAAAAAGAUGGGGACAACUAAUAUCUAGGAGAUCUCUUAUAAUGUUUAAGUAAACAAGUUUUAUAAACUUUUAGAAGGAUUACCUGAUCCGAUCAAAAAUGCCAAAAGAAGUGUCCUAAUAGACUGUAUAACUCUAGGUUAAUGUGCUCUGAAGGGCAAUUAGAAAAUAGCUUAAGAAGACAUCAAGCAAAAAAUUAUAACAAUUAGAUAGGUGCCUUGACUGAUGCAUGAACUGUUGCAUGAGGUGCUAUUUUUAUCUCAAACUAAGCAUAGUCUUGAUCAAAUAAUGGCAAAAGAAAUAUAUGGUUAUAACCCUAGUCUUGGUUUGCUGGUCCAGUAACUCUAAUACAUACUCCACAUUUAAAGAUCGGGACUCUCCUAGAUCACCUUUUCUAAUGUUCUUUUACAAGAAAGAAUUGAAGCACUAUUGUUAUGCUUAUAUGGAACUUUAGAUAUCUCUUAACUAAACCGUGAACAGUACUAUUUGGUUAUGGUAGACAAUCAAAUUGUUAAUCUCAUGCAUUUUUUUUGUUUUCAGUACAAAAUCAUGAUUUAUAAUAUGUUUCCAAAUCUUCUGUUAUUAUAUAAGUUUGCUUCUAAAAAUGGAUAUUUCUAGCGGAAGGAAAAAGAAAAGAGAGAGGCUGUUUUUGCUUGGCAAAAAUAUAAUAGCAUCAACUCAUUAGAAUAUAAAUUUCUCUUACAAACUACAUCUACAGGCAAUUAGGAUAAAUAACUUACCUAAUCGCAAGAUUCUUGUAUUAUCUUCUCACUUAGUACUCAUUCUCUCGUGUAACUUCCUAUUAUAUAAACAUCUACACCCAAACUCUACAAUUCUGAAAUGCACAAAUAUGUAACUUCCUAUCCAUAAGUAAACCUACACAUAUAGGCUCUCACAGUCGUCCCCAACUGAGUUCAUUUGCAGCAUCGGAACAACAUGUGACAAUAUUGGCUUUCCGCGUGUAUAUAUAUAAGGAGAAGACAAGAGGAUAAAAAGAUGUUAUGAGGGAUGUAUGAAUGCAAUGCACAGUCGCCAAUUUCAAAGUGAUGAAGUACCAAAUAUUUUCUUCUACUUGUAUUUUGUAACAGGCUAACUGUUUUCAUAUAAAGCUAUAUUAAAAACGUAAAUUUAUUAUAUUUAAGUAGGAUAGAAAUAAGUUAACCAGGGUAUAACAAACAAAAUGAUCAUGCGACAUGACCAAGACGUGAUGUCGACCAGCACCCUGCAUACCACAUACCAGGGUUUCACGCAAAUUUAAAGAUUAUAGGCAUAUAUAUAGUGCACACACCAAUAAAAUCUUACUCAUUUAUGAGAAGUGCACUGCAUGUUAUUCAAAUUUAGUAGAUUAACAUUACUGAGGGAAACUUGUCCCAGCACAACCUAAUAGAUUCACAUGGCUUAGAACUAUAUCAAUUCUAUGGUCAGACUGUAAAUGAAAAUAUCAAUUUAUGGCCCUAGGAUGCAGACACAACCUUCCUUUAAGUGACAUGAAACAACUUCUUUUAGAUGAAACUGUUUGAUCUCAUAUCUAAUCUUUGUACAUACACACUAAGUUUGUUCCAUCCCCUUACUAUACCUCAUGUUGCUCCACGAAGUUAAAAAGCAGUAUGUGAUCAGAAUUCUGAAACAAUAAUUAAAACAUAAUUAAAAUAGGCUACAAAAGAGUAGCAGUAGCUAUUCUUAUAUAUAUUAUGAAGCUUAUACAAGGUAUCAAACAAAUUGUUACAACUUAUCAACUCCAAAAUACUAACUGUAGGCUCUAUUCGAAUAAAGUUACAGAAGCCAACGCCUACUCGCCUAGGCCAAGACCAAAUAGGUGGACUAUCCGAGUAACCGACCACGAAGUGUAUACAGAUAGCUAUGUUGUGGCGGUUGUGGCCCACGUCAGCAGCCAUCAUUGUGGCUGAUCUUUGCUUAUUUAUAGCACCGGUACCAGUUAAUGCAAUUAAUGACAGGGGCAUCAAUUAAAGAUAAAACCUAAAGCUUCAGUAGGCACAGGUUUUAAACAGAAAGUAACAUGUGCUUCUAAUUUUACUACUGUAUAUGAACCAUCUGUAUUCUGUAAGGAACAUUAAAUUUCUUUGAGAAAGGACUACUCAAUAGGUUUGGUCAGAAUUCCUUCUUAUCCAUAUGAACAUCAAAAUGCAAAAGAUGACAUAUAUAGUGAUGUCAAGCACAUAAUAGAUUUUUUUGAUUUAAAUGAACAAUGGAAUCACAAUUCUGAAAAGGAAAGUCCAUGCCAAUAAUAAACUAAAAACAAUCAUAUAUUAAGCCAAAAGGAGUUAGCGAGAGAAAAAAUAAAUAUACUUCUAAGACCAACUGAUACCUGCACAAAAUCCCCAUCCUUUUAGCUAAAUGUACUGUCUUUUCCAGAGGCUGGCUUUGCUUUAGAUGACUUCUCAGGAACCGCCUUUUGGUCAGCCUCUUAGUUACUGAUUAUGCUCUUGCUGUUGUUGUCUUGUUGAUAAAACUGACGUAGGUAGCUUCAUGACAGAUGUAGUGGUGGCAACAUUUGCUGGCCAAGAAUACCCAUACAAUGAUGAUUUUACAUUAUACAAGAACUCGAAUCAGGGUACUUUGAAGUCAUGGCUGGUUUUGGAAAAGUCAAGCGAAAGGAAAUUAGUAAUCACAAUAUCAAACAUUUCAAAAAGAAGACCAACUACUGCAAUCAUUUUAUCAUGUCUAAUUUAUAUAGAAACUGUAUGGUGACAUCCUUCCCACCAACAUAAAGAAUUCAGGAGGCUAAAAUAGCUCCCAUCUUGCCUAUAGUACAUUCAUGCUUAUUUAAAAAUAAUUUUCUCUAGUCGCAUAAUCAACCGAAAUAAAGCACGAUAAGGUAUUAAGAAACACAAGCAGACACUGCUACACCAGAAUGUUCCAACAUGAGAAACCAAGCUUAACCAUUGCCAUAGUCAUUGCUCUACAAAGCAGUAAUUUCACAAAAUGCAUUUCAGGUUGCUAAUUUCAAAAGCAAGCAUCAAAUUAACUUUACACAAAAUAAGACUAGAGAGUGCAGACAGUAGAUGUUGGGGAUAAAAAUGCAACCAGAGGUUCAACUAAUUUGAUUCUGACUUGUGCAGUUGCACUCAACCAAAUAGUGACCAUAAAUGGUAAAAGGCGAGCCUGUGUAUAGAUAAUAUAGAUUGAUACACGAUGAGAGGGUUGCAAUUUGAAAAGCUUUAUGAAUGCAAUAGUCAAUCACAUCAAGAUACAAGGUGUAGUAAUGUUAAAUAAACCUAAAUUGAUCACAAGCAGUGACUACAAUAUUAUUGUCUUAACCAAAUUAAUUCAACCACCAGUACAGGAGACACCACUUAAUGGAAUAGAUAAUCUAAGGUGAAUGCACCCAGAACAUCAAUAUUAUGCUGACUUCUUAUCUGACUCAAAGAUCCGACGAGAUCGAAUGGCAAAGCGCCAGGUAUAGUAGAUUGAAUUUUAAUAUAGUUUCUGCAAUCCCAAAUUACAAGAUAAAAAGAAUUUGUUUGCAGGGACGUAGACAGCUAAGAGUAUAAUCUGGAGUUAUGAAUUAGGCUGAGCAUUCGGUCGGUUCGGUUUAAAACCGAACCGAACCGAAAAAACCGAAAACCGAAAACCGAAUUAGACUUUUUUCUGAAACCGAACCGAACCGAAUUAUUAUUUUGGACCGAACCGAACCGACCGAAUUAUUUCGGUUCGGUUUCGGUUUCGGUUUGAAAAAACCGAAAUUUUUAAAACAAAUAGGACAACUCAGUCUAGCAUCUACUGAUUUACAUUACAAAAGUACAGUGAAGUUCAAAAAGAAAUAAAAUGCUUCCCAUCUCAGAUUUUCAAGCUGCAUCUGCACGACAUAGAAGCUAGUCUUAGAUAGUUAGAUUAGAUUAGAGAUGAAGAAUACAAACUUGGAGUUUGAGUUACUGCCUCCAGGAGAUGAAGAUGAGAAGAUUCGUGUUACUAUGAUUCAGAUUUGUUUCAUGAUGGAGAGUUGGAGGCUAGAGUUUGGGUGGGUCGGAGAGCCCAGGAGAUGAGAGAACUGACCAGUGGGAUAUUAGAUUCUAAUUCCUGGGGUUAUCUUAUCUGUAUAUAUGUAAUAUAUUAUAUAUUUAUUUUUGAUUUAAUAAAAAUUUCGGUUAUUUCGGUUUAAACCGAAAUACUAUAUCAAAAACCGAACCGAACCGAACUUCUUUUCGGUUCAAACCGAAAAACCGAAAUAACCGAAAUUUUCAGAAAAA
rnacentral:lncRNA from 1 species